AGUGAACGCUGGCGGUAGGCUUAACACAUGCAAGUCGAACGGCAGCAACCUAAGAGCUUGCUUUUACGGGUUGCGAAUCGCGGACGGGUGAGGAAUACAUCGGAAUCUACUUUCUCGUGUGGGAUAACGUAGUGAAACUUACUAUCAUACCUCAUCCGACCUACGGUUGCAAGCAUUGGAUCUUCGUACCUUGCGCGAUUGACUGACCCCCUGUCGGAUUAGCUAGUUGGCGGGGUCAAGGCCCACCAAGGCGACGAACCGUAGCUGGACUGAGAGGAUGAUCAGCCACACUGGGACUGAGACACGGUACAGAGUACUACGGGAGGGAGCAGUGGGGUAUAUUAGACAGUAGGCGCAAACCUGAUCCAGCCAGACCGCGUGGGAGGCAGAGGCCUUCGGGUUGUAAAGCCGGUUUGUUGGGAAAAAAAAGCUGUAAGUAAAUAACAAGCUGUUGUGACGGUACCUAAAGAAGAAGCGCCGGCUAACUACGUG
rnacentral:rRNA from 1 species